rnacentral:rRNA from 3 species
CCGGUGAAAUGCGUAGAUAUUAGGAAGAACACCAGUGGCGAAGGCGGUUCUCUGGACGGUAACUGACGUUGAGGCUCGAAAGCGUGGGUAGCAAACAGGAUUAGAUACCCUGGUAGUCCACGCCGUAAACGAUGAAUGCUAGGUGUCGGGAAGCACAGCUUUUCGGUGCCGCCGCAAACGCAUUAAGCAUUCCACCUGGGGAGUACGUUCGCAAGAAUAAAACUCAAAGGAAUUGACGGGGACCCGCACAAGCGGCGGAGCAUGUGGUUUAAUUCG